rnacentral:lncRNA from 1 species
CCUCACGUUGACUCAUAAAAGUGUUUUCAAGACUGCUUUUCCGUCCUCUUCCCCAGGAAGUCCCGGUUGGAGGCUCCCUAACAUUACUGGCUACCCACUAGGGCUGGAAAGAGUUAACGUGAGGGGUGCCAUGGAGGUGGGGCAUAACUCAGUGUAAUUACCCUUACAUAUUAGAUUGCAGCCUGAACAUGCUUACCCCAUCAUUAAGAGCCUUGUAAAGAUAACUAAUGUUUUUUUGUUGUUCUGCCCCACAUCUCCCUGCCAGCAUUCCAGAAUUGGCCCGGCAGAGCCCCAGGCUCCCGGGGGCUUGAUGGAAGCUAUGGAAGAGCAGUUCAGCUUCCUCUAAGGUAGCAAAACCUUACAGACUUCAGGGGACAGCGGAUCCAUGGCCCACGGCUGCUGCAGGCAAAGUCUCUUCUUUUCUGCAGGGACCCUUCUCUCUCAAGGCCGAUUGAGUACAUCAGAGGAGGAGACUGAAAGCCCCGCAGAUGUGUGCAAAAUGGGUUCCUUCUUGCUUGCCAUGCCUAGAAAGAAGCAGCCAGGCCCGUCAACCUCCUCUUCACGGAUGGGACCACCCGUUUCUCCUGACUGGAAAGGAAAGGCGGUGCAGCUUUUGUUGGUGAAGUUGCACUCAGGAUCAGAAAACAGAACGGCGGUCCUGGCGGGGGAUGGUGCCUCUGACGUGGCAGGGCCCGUGUACUCUCGCCCAUGGCCCUGCUGCUGGGCCCUGCAGGGGCUGCACGUUUGCCUGUGACAAGGGCCCCCGAGGCCACUCACAGAGCAGGCCUCCCCCAUCCCCGCCAGGGCUCCACACUUCCUCACAGCUCCUGCGUCCUCACACAGCACGUCGGGGACUGAGACAUGGUGACAAGGAUUCUUCCAACACGGGGUGAUUAUAAAUGGUCUCGUCCUCUUGUCCUUCCUCAGGAGCCCCGGCCACACUGAAAGCCUUGAUGACAAAGAAGCAAGUCAGCCACCCCAGCCACUCCAGCAGUGGAGUGACCCCCUCUGGAGUCCCUCCCCUGCCAUGGCCCCUCAGGGCCCUUUCAAGCCAGGGUACCUCUGUGCUGACAGGCUGGAAAGGCAGUAAAACACCUGGGCUGUCCCUGUCACUACCCGCGUUUUCAUUAGCAAAGAAUAACUCCAGGGGAGGCUGUCAGGGUUGGCUGAGCAGCUAGGUGAGACCAAGGGGUACAAUUUCAUGGUGAAGAGAAACUCCCCAAAUGUACCAACAGAUGAAGGUCGCCAGCAGUGCCCUGGCCAUCGGGAAAGCUCCUCUGGGUGGAACCAGGACCUGCUCACCACGGUGCUCCCCACUCGGAUCCGGGACAGCGGCAAGGUGCAGCUAAUACUUUUUGCCUUAAUGAGCCGAAGAGGCCUCCGCAGGAACAUGGAACUUUAUCCCAGGGGCCAUCUCCGUCCUCAUUCGAAGUUUUAUGAAAGCACCUAAAGUGUCCAAGGUGCUGGACGCCAACCUCCAUAGGGCACCACCGGCCCCAGGUGAUGCAGCACAACUUCCGCGUGGCAGGACCCUCUUCUAGGGUCCGUCGGCUGGUGUACUUUAAUUUAAGAGGUUCAUAUUCAGGAGGUAAUUAAUACCACAGAAAAAAAAAAUAGCAGGCAAACUCUCAAAGUGACCCCAGGGGCAGGAGAUGAGUGUGACCAAUUCAGUAUCCCAUCUGUUUCUGCAUUUGAGGGAGAUAGUCAUGGGCAGCAUCUCUAAAAGUUCGAGUCCAUACAUGUCUCUGUCCCUGCUGAUUCCAGGAGGCUCACAUUUUCAGGGAAUAUUAGUAAGACAAUGGAUCAGCCUCCAUCAAAGCCCAAAAAACUAGUGUAUUAGUUGAUUCUCGCAUUGCUACAGAGAAAUUCCUGAGACUGGGUAAUUUGUAAAGAAAAGAGGUUUAUAAUUGGCUUAUGGCUCUGCAGGCUGUACAGGAAGCAUGGACGCUUCUGCUUCUGGGGAGCCUCAGGGAGCUUUGACCCAUGGCAGAAGGCAAAGCAGGAGCAGAUGUCUCACAUGACAGGAAUAGGACCAAGAGGGAGGUGGGGAGAUGCCACACACUUUAAAACAACCGGAUCUCAUGAGAACUCAGGAUUGCAACCACGGCACCAUGAAAAACUGCACCCAUGAUCCAGUCACCUCCCACCGGACCUCACCUCCAGCACUGGGGAUUGCAUUUCAACAUGAGAUUUGGGUGGGGACACAGAUUUAAACCAUGUCAACUAGAAGAAGAGUGACAGCAGAUCUAAACAGUGGAGUGACCCCUCUGCAGCUCCCAACCUUCCUCGGCGCAGGCAGGGAGAUGACAGUCACCCGCAUUGCAAAUACCAACAUUUUAAAACUCUCAAUAAAAAGUUUGUUUAAACUUUUAGAAUCCUACUUUUUACCAUAAAAUGUGUACAUAGGAUAUGUGACUAAGUUCUCAUCCCUCCAUUGGUUGUUCUUUUCUUCAGUUUCUCCUGGCCUCAGUUUUGAUCAUAGAGGAGGCUCCUGGCCAGAGGCAAAGCCGCUGUUCCCUGGCAGUGACAGCGUGGCCCAGAAAGGUGGCUUCAGGGAGUUCAGAGCAUGAGGUGAGAAUUAUUUUUGGUGGUACAAAAAUUAGUACUUUUCCAUUUACCUGUUUAUGAGGUUUGUCUGUGAAUGGUGAACAUUCCUGAGACAGAUACUUAUUGAGAAUCUAUGACCUGCAACAGACUACCUUGUUGUAUUUUGGCUUUUAGUUAAGAUGCUAGUUAAUUAUAUAUGUGUCAGGGGUUGACAGACGCUUUCUGUAAAGGGCCCAGUAGGAAAUAUUUUAGGCCUCUGGGGCCCUGAGUUCUCCAUAUCAAUUGCUGACCUCCUCCCAUGUAGCCCAAAG